GCAGAGAGGCGGGGGCAGCUACUGAGGGCCCGCACCAGGCAGGGGAGCGAGGGGCUCUGAGUGGCUGUGAUGGAAAGACUGAAGCCUGUGGAGGCCACCUCAAGGUUGCUACAGUGGGAUCUCCUAAGAUCCUGGAAGAAGGGCGGAAGACUCUCGGAGGUUAUGGCUCUUAUUUAGCAGAGUUCACAGGCCUGCUGAAUCCUGCCACCAGACUCCCAAGGGUGAGAAGUCCCUGCUCUGGAGGACGUACGCCAUGCUGGCUGCUGGAACUGCCCUCAGGAAGGGCCCUGGGGCAGAGCGUGGGAGGGGGCCCUUGCUGUUUCAUUCUUUUGUGCUCUUGAAUUUUGUACGAUGUGUAUGUGUCCCCUAAUUAAAUACAUCACCUAAAGAUGAAAACAGGGAGCUUA